UUUUCCCGGCCAAUAUCACCCCAUGAACAGCUGUGUCUGCAAGACCACCAUAGUCGGAUCUUGAGCACACAGCUUUGCGCGGAACUCUGUUUUUCAGGUAAUGGAGGAUGAAUCUUGUGAUGAUCAAGCUGUUGUUAUGAAUCCCAUAUGCCUCCCAAUUCUUGAUGAAACUUUCAAUUAUUACAGGAGAUAAUAAGGCUAAGUCAUUGAACCACCACUGGUUGCCUGAGGAUGAAAACGGUUUUCUCGACUCGGGAGUGGUUUUGGAAGAGGAGAGUCUGAACCCAGAUGCAGUUUCUGGAGAAGAAGACGAAGACGAAGAAGAAGCAAUCAGGUUUGUAUCAGAAUGUUGAGUAAUCUUUGCUAAUAAGCCAUAGAUGAGCUUCUGGACAAGGCCUGAUGAAUCUGCAUAUGUGAAAAAGCACUCACAGCUCUUGAGACUUGCGAGUAUAUCAUUCCAUGACCAGUCAAAAAUUCCUUCAAGAAAGAUCUCUGUCUGUUUCAAGAGAUUGCAAUUUGAGACUUUAUCU
rnacentral:lncRNA from 1 species